UACGUAGGGUGCGAGCGUUGUCCGGAAUUACUGGGCGUAAAGAGCUCGUAGGUGGUUUGUCGCGUUGUUCGUGAAAACCGGGGGCUUAACCCUCGGCGUGCGGGCGAUACGGGCAGACUGGAGUACUGCAGGGGAGACUGGAAUUCCUGGUGUAGCGGUGGAAUGCGCAGAUAUCAGGAGGAACACCGGUGGCGAAGGCGGGUCUCUGGGCAGUAACUGACGCUGGAGAAGCGAAAGCGUGGGGAGCGAACAGG
rnacentral:rRNA from 1 species